CCGUUGUGAAUUUAAGUCUAAGGUCUACGUCCAAUCCCAGUGUUUAAAACCACAAGCGAUAUCUUCAUAAGAAGUAGCCUAGGCUACUCAUUAAACACAAAUACUGUUCAUCGUCAUCAUCAAUGAUAAAGACGGCUGGCCUUCUACCCACUUCCUGUGAUGUCAUGUGGGAGGAUAAGCACUUGCAGGAAUAUCUACGAGUUUAUCUGCUAUUGAUAGCACCAUUAAUCAUCGUAAUGUCGGUUAAAGUUCUCCAUGACUACACACGUAUGGUGUAUGAUGCCGUCAGACAGUGAACUUCACAGAAACCUGGGACACAGUUUGGAACUCGUGACAUUCGGAACAAAUGAGCUGAACUUUCCCUGCUCUUCCAGGAUCCCCUCGCUUUGGUUUGAAAAGUGCUGGGCACAGCGCCUUUGCUGAUCUGAUUCAAUAACCAGCCAAUUGUUCUCCUCCCUCCCCAGGUCUAAUUAUGUCUUAAGUUUCAGACAGCGCUGGAAUCAUUGAUUUUGUAUGCACCGCUGACCUUCGCGCCAGCACACCGCGCAGGCUAGCACUUAGGGGCCGGCCACACCGAUGAUGCAUGGAGGAGCUUUUACCUGUUAGUGCAAUUCAUUACACACACUAAUUACCACAGCUGAAAACCAAUCAUUCUCUCGUUCUAACCCAGUUCUUUAUAAAGAGGAUAAAGAGUGAUGUUGUUGUUUACCAUUACCAUUUCUGAUAGCCCCCUUUAACGCAUAAAGUCUCAUUGUUGGUAAGCAAUUAUUGAUAAGUAGUUAUUUAUGUCUAUGUUUCAGAGCAGACCAAUAGUUAUUCCACAAUAAAGGAAGUGUGCAUUGGGGCGAUCUAAUCCGCUCACCUGGUGCCACAGGUUCCCUGCUAGGAUACCAAUAUGGAUUCUGGAAUGUUCCGUCUGAGGUCGCCCAGGACAGUACCCUGGGUGCCAUGGAGACCCAGUCCCCGGGAACCAGUCCUUCCGCCAUUACUGGUGCCAGACACUCUCUCCUUCCCAACAUUUCAAACUCUGAUAUUCAUUGUAAUCCUCUCGAAUGUAAUUUCUUUUGGUUCCCAGCGUGGCGAUGCAGCACGUGUCCAUCACGAUAAACAGCUCCGGGCUGGUAGCCAGUCCAAGGUUAUGGGCUGAAAAAAAGGACCCCGUUUUAAUUGGCGCUGCGCGGUCUGGGAACACAACAGAAAACAAAGGUUACACAGAGAGGUGAACACAGAUAGACGCUCUGAGAGGAGUCUGCCAGUUGUACUCCUGUCACGUCUCAUAAGAGAUGGCCAUGACGUUGUGACGCUUUAACCAAGGACAAACAAAAUGGCCGCCCCUUCCUUCCCCCUCGGCAUCUUCCAACAUUCAUGUGAUUGAUGCAAAGCUGCUACUUAGUAUUCCGUGAAAGGUCAGCUGGAGCUGUUGUCAUUUGAGCGGCGAUUUGUGGCCCAGUCAAGGAGCGGCUCCCUCUUCUUCACUUUUGGUAGAAUUUAUUGAAGGAGAGGCUGUUUAGGUAAAGUGUUAUUUGUACACUGACACUCCGACCUUCAAUUGUGGAGACAGGGAGAGCAGGAGAGACAGAAAGGGAAAAGGAGGAAGGAAUGGGGAGGCCGAGGGGGAGUGAUGGAGAGAGAGAGAGAGAGAGAGAGAGAGAGAGAGAGAGAGAGAGAGAGAGAGAGAGAGAGAGAGAGAGAGAGAGAGAGAGAGA